GAGGAAAAUAAACCAACCGGGAUUGCCUUAGUAACGGCGAGUGAAGCGGCAAAAGCUCAAAUUUGAAAUCUGGUACCUUCGGUGCCCGAGUUGUAAUUUGGAGAGGGCAACUUUGGGGCCGUUCCUUGUCUAUGUUCCUUGGAACAGGACGUCAUAGAGGGUGAGAAUCCCGUGUGGCGAGGAGUGCGGUUCUUUGUAAAGUGCCUUCGAAGAGUCGAGUUGUUUGGGAAUGCAGCUCUAAGUGGGUGGUAAAUUCCAUCUAAAGCUAAAUAUUGGCGAGAGACCGAUAGCGAACAAGUACAGUGAUGGAAAGAUGAAAAGAACUUUGAAAAGAGAGUGAAAAAGUACGUGAAAUUGUUGAAAGGGAAGGGCAUUUGAUCAGACAUGGUGUUUUGUGCCCUCUGCUCCUUGUGGGUAGGGGAAUCUCGCAUUUCACUGGGCCAGCAUCAGUUUUGGUGGCAGGAUAAAUCCAUAGGAAUGUAGCUUGCCUCGGUAAGUAUUAUAGCCUGUGGGAAUACUGCCAGCUGGGACUGAGGACUGCGACGUAAGUCAAGGAUGCUGGCAUAAUGGUUAUAUGCCGCCCGUCUGAA
rnacentral:rRNA from 1 species